rnacentral:misc_RNA from 1 species
GAAGAGAGCAGAAAAAGAAACGAGAAAAAGCAGUACGGUCGUCGCUUACCUUAUCGCCAUACUCUUCGCUUUCAAGUGAUGCCAUCGCUGGUUCAUCUCGUCCAGACGUCGUUGCAGCAUAACCGCGUCAUCCUGGCUGGCCAGAGAACUCAACAACUUCCGGCCAGUACCAUUCAGGGAUGCGUACACGUCUCGGUGUGUCUCGAUUUCCGAUUGCAGGUCCUGAAACAUCCAAACAAAAGUUUCGAAUGAUGUACAAUGAAGAUCGUGGGUUAAAUAUCACGUAGAAUUUUAGUACGUUUUUCAUUACGGUUUAUAUUGUGCGUUUUAGGCGAUGAAGGCUGUCGAUA